GUCUGGCGGCUCCCGAUCGCUUAGCGGCUGAGGAGGCGUCAUCUUUUUCCCCUGCAGGGCCACGGUGACCGGAAGGCGGCAUCCGCAGCUGUCCACGCCUGAACAUCAGCUGUCCACCAGCCGAGCACAGGCCAUCAAAGCCGAAUCCGAACUUGAAUUCUGGGCGGCUGAUUGCGGAGCUGGACUGGGAUCUGCAACCUCGCGUGGACAGAGAUCGACCUACCUCAGAAUCGAGCUUUCUCACGGAGGCACCUGUUGCAGAGACUGAACGUGAAAUAAAGG